GAUGAACGCUGGCGGCGUGCCUAAUACAUGCAAGUCGAGCGAACAGACGAGGAGCUUGCUCCUCUGACGUUAGCGGCGGACGGGUGAGUAACACGUGGAUAACCUACCUAUAAGACUGGGAUAACUUCGGGAAACCGGAGCUAAUACCGGAUAAUAUAUUGAACCGCAUGGUUCAAUAGUGAAAGACGGUUUUGCUGUCACUUAUAGCUGGAUCCGCGCCGCAUUAGCUAGUUGGUAAGGUAACGGCUUACCAAGGCAACGAUGCGUAGCCGACCUGAGAGGGUGAUCGGCCACACGGGAACUGAGACACGGUCCAGACUCCUACGGGAGGCAGCAGUAGGGAAUCUUCCGCAAAGGGCGAAAGCCUGACGGAGCAACGCCGCGUGAGUGAUGAAGGUCUUCGGACCGUAAAACUCUGUUAUUAGGGAAGAACAAAUGUGUAAGUAACUAUGCACGUCUUGACGGUACCUAAUCAGAAAGCCACGGCUAACUACGUG
rnacentral:rRNA from 1 species